GAUGAACGCUGGCGGCGUGCCUAAUACAUGCAAGUCGAGCGAACAGACGAGAAGCUUGCUCUUCUGAUGUUAGCGGCGGACGGGUGAGUAACACGUGGAUAACCUACCUAUAAGACUGGGAUAACUUCGGGAAACCGGAGCUAAUACCGGAUAAUAUUUUGAACCGCAUGGUUCAAAAGUGAAAGACGGUCUUGCUGUCACUUAUAGAUGGAUCCGCGCUGCAUUAGCUAGUUGGUAAGGUAACGGCUUACCAAGGCAACGAUGCAUAGCCGACCUGAGAGGGUGAUCGGCCACACUGGAACUGAGACACGGUCCAGACUCCUACGGGAGGCAGCAGUAGGGAAUCUUCCGCAAUGGGCGAAAGCCUGACGGAGCAACGCCGCGUGAGUGAUGAAGGUCUUCGGAUCGUAAAACUCUGUUAUUAGGGAAGAACAUAUGUGUAAGUAACUGUGCACAUCUUGACGGUACCUAAUCAGAAAGCCACGGCUAACUACGUG
rnacentral:rRNA from 1 species